GUUCGGUUCGCAGUGUUGUACUGAGAUAGGUGGAGUCAUGGUGUUGGUGAAAUUUAAGGACGAGGGUGGGGUCACUGCGAAGUGGCCUGCUAUGACAAGACUGCUGAGGCAACGACUACUGCAUCAGAACACCACAAUGCUGACGCGACGAACGCUCCAUGCCAAACAACUAUGGACUCUGGUGUGCAUGUGGUGAGAUGGCUUCCUGAAUUCUCCCCAAGCAGCUGAUUGGUCGACUGACUCCAUGGCUAAUUGGAGCUGACCCCGCCCCCUCGUCAGGACGCAGAUGUCUUCAAAUACCCAUUCCUUCUGAAGCUAUAUAAAAGCCAGCUUCUGUUCAGAAGGGAGAUCGUUGCUGGGAGAUCGUUUCUGGGAGG